GGAAGUAAAAGUCGUAACAAGAUUUCCGUAGGCGAACCUGCGGAAGGAUCAUUAUUGUAUAACCGAGGUGCGAGGGCUGUCGCUGACCCGAAAGGUCGUGCACGCCCGAGUGCCCUCACACACAUCCAUCUCACCCCUAUGUGCACCACCGCGUGGGUCCCCCUUUGGCUUGUUCGGAGGGGGGCUUACGUUUUCACACAAACUUUGUAUGCAGUGUAGAAUGUAUUUUUUGUUUUUGCGAUCACGCAAUCAAUACAACUUUCAACAACGGAUCUCUUGGCUCUC
rnacentral:misc_RNA from 1 species